GUGCUCGGUUUGGCAGCACAUAUCCUAAAGUUGGAACGAUACAGAGAAGAUUAGCAUGGCCCCUGUGCAAGGAUGAUACACAAAUUCAUUAAGCGUUCCAUAUUUUU
rnacentral:snRNA from 1 species